AGGACAUUCUAAUUUUGCUUUUCUUCCCUUGUUGUAUCUUAAGGUGUGACUGCUGCUUCUUGGUCUAAGUGUUUUGAUAGAAAAUAAUGGGCUAGAGCUUUAUGGUACUUUUUUAGAGCAUAUUGUCCUUAAAAACUAGUUUCAUUUGAGGCAUGACUAUUCAUUUCAGCUUUAAAGCACUUUAUGAAUCCUUAACUAUAUUACCAUUUGCCAUGCUGGAACUUCUGAGUACAGCGAAUUCUCACUAAUUGACCAAUUUUUGAAGAAGCUGUAAUAUUUAUUUUUUUAUGAAAAGUGGUUUUACUUUUUCAGUACACACACAAUUAGGUCCAUUCUCCAAGAAAGGAUUUUAGAUUAUCUACCUUAGUGAAUGUAUAGAAAUGAUUUAGCAAAAU
rnacentral:lncRNA from 1 species